AUCAAAACCAUCUCUUUCUGAUUCCUCUUCCUUGUCUUUCCGAUCUGUUCUCAACCCACUUCAUCUCCCUAAUCACACUACCUCUCCUCCUUCGAGAUCUUCCUCUGUUUCACCAAUCCAAUCCUCUCUUCGUGAGCUCAGAGACCGUAUCGAUUCUGUCAAGAACACUCAGAAGAUCACCGAAGCUAUGAAGCUUGUCGCUGCUGCUAAAGUCAGGAGAGCUCAAGAAGCUGUCGUCAACGGACGACCUUUCUCUGAAACCCUAGUUGAAGUUCUUUACAACAUCAACGAACAGCUUCAGACCGAUGAUGUCGAUGUGCCCUUGACCAAAGUCAGACCGGUUAAGAAAGUGGCCCUCGUUGUCGUAACCGGAGAUCGUGGAUUGUGUGGUGGAUUCAACAAUUUCAUCAUUAAGAAAGCAGAGGCGAGAAUCAAAGAGCUUCAAGGUCUUGGUCUUGAUUACAUUGUCAUUAGCGUGGGCAAGAAGGGAAAUUCUUAUUUCCUCCGUCGUCCUUACAUCCCCGUCGACAAGUUCCUCGAAGCCGGAACUUUACCGACGGCCAAAGAAGCUCAAGCUGUGGCUGAUGAUGUCUUCUCUCUGUUUAUCAGUGAAGAAGUCGAUAAAGUCGAGCUCUUGUACACAAAGUUCGUGUCUUUGGUCAAAUCAGAACCCGUGAUCCACACGCUAUUGCCUCUAUCACCAAAAGGAGAGAUCUGUGACAUCAAUGGGAACUGUGUUGAUGCUGCGGAAGAUGAAUUGUUCAGGUUAACGACGAAAGAAGGGAAAUUGACUGUUGAAAGAGAGACCUUUAGGACACCAACAGCUGAUUUCUCUCCAAUCUUGCAAUUCGAGCAAGACCCUGUUCAGAUUCUUGAUGCUUUGUUGCCUCUGUAUCUCAACAGUCAGAUUCUUAGGGCGUUGCAGGAGUCAUUGGCUAGUGAGCUUGCAGCUAGAAUGAGUGCAAUGAGCAGUGCUUCGGAU
rnacentral:lncRNA from 1 species